rnacentral:rRNA from 1 species
UAAACGACUCUCGGCAACGGAUAUCUCGGCUCACGCAUCGAUGAAGAACGUAGCAAAAUGCGAUACUUGGUGUGAAUUGCAGAAUCCCGUGAACCAUCGAGUUUUUGAACGCAAGUUGCGCCCAAAGCCACUCGGCUGAGGGCACGUCUGCCUGGGCGUCACGC